ACGCUCGACACCUACGGAGGCAGCAGUGGGGAAUAUUGCACAAUGGGGGGAACCCUGAUGCAGCGACGCCGCGUGAGGGAAGAAGGUUUUCGGAUUGUAAACCUCUGUCUUUGGUGACGAUAAUGACGGUAGCCAAAGAGGAAGCUACGGCUAACUACGUGCCAACAGCCGCGGUAAUCUGAGCGGGCUGGCAAGGC
rnacentral:rRNA from 1 species